ACAGCAGCAGCCGCGGUAAUACGAAGGGUGCAAGCGUUACUCGGAAUUACUGGGCGUAAAGCGUGCGUAGGCGGUGAGUUAAGUCUGCUGUGAAAUCCCCGGGCUCAACCUGGGAAUGGCAGUGGAUACUGGCUCGCUAGAGUGUGUCAGAGGAUGGUGGAAUUCCCGGUGUAGCGGUGAAAUGCGUAGAGAUCGGGAGGAACAUCAGUAGCGAAGGCGGCCAUCUGGGACAACACUGACGCUGAGGCACGAAAGCGUGGGGAGCAAACAGGAUUAGAGACCCCCGUAGUCCCUGUCUCUUAUAU
rnacentral:rRNA from 1 species